CAAUGUCAAUCAUCAAUAUUUUGCCCUUGUUAAGUUAAAAGAAAAGUUAUUGGACAGUUUUUGAGAAAAUUGGGUCCAAAUACCCAAACUGGCCAUUUUCGGCAUAAAAAUGGCCACCAUUUCCAAACGAACAAAUCUAUAGCUAUAAUUUUUUGAAGUGAAAUAUGUCAAGGACCCAUCUUAUGCCUUUGACAAAUUAGGAAAAAACAUUUUCAAAUGAGACUGUUUU